GGUGAGGUGGCCGAGUGGUUAAGGCGCUGUGUUUAGGCUGCUUCUAUAGCUUGAAUCCCCGCAGUGGGUAACCGCGUGGGUUCGAAUCCCACCCUCAUCA